rnacentral:lncRNA from 1 species
CUGUGAUCUUUGUCCAUUCAUGAAAGACGGUGGUGAAGCUCCUUGUUGAGUGAAAGAAGGUGAUGGUGCCUGAUGCGGAUUUUGUGCAAAAGGUGAAGGCUGACCUUGCAUUUGAUGUGAUCCUUGUCCAGAAACAAAAGAGGGUGGUGAAGUUUGUUGCCACCUUGGAUUAGGCACUGACUGCUGGCCUUGCAUUUGUGAUGAUCCUUGUCCUCCCAUGAAAGAAGGUGGUGAAGCUUGUUGCCAGCUAGGAUUAGGCACUGACUGCUGGCCUUGCAUUUGUGAUGAUCCUUGUCCUCCCAUGAACGAAGGUGGUGAAGCUUGUUGCCAGCUAGGAUUAGGCACUGACUGCUGGCCUUGCAUUUGUGAUGAUCCUUGUCCUCCCAUGAAAGAAGGCGAUGAAGAUUGUUGCGACAUGGAGCUAGGAGCA